GAGGGGGGAGUUUCCAGUCCGAACGAGACGAGCGUGCACACCGGAUCGCUCUCUUUUUGCUUCUCCGAGAUCAAGAGACCGAGAGAGAGAGAAGUACACACACAUAGAGCGAGACAGAAAUGUAGAAGCUUUCGAUGAGGACAGAAGUGUGAGCGUGAUGAAAGAGAGCAGCUGCGUGGAUACUACUACUGCUGCUGCUGCUGCUAAUGCUGCGACGCGCGAGCGAACGCACUUUACGAGGGAGAGAGAAGCCGACGAUGGACGGAUGCGGGGCACUGCUCGUCGUUCGAUUGAAGAUGACUGGAUAUACUUGUUGGAAUAAAAGACAGCAGCAGCUGAUCCGAACAAAGGGAGAGAAGUAGCAGCAGCAGCAGCAACGCUGGAGUUUUCGAUCGGAGGCGAUAUUUCGAGUGCGGAAUUCCGUUUGCCGGAAGGCUGGGCUCAAUCGAGGAGAAACGCACUCUUUUUCGGUCGCCCCGAGCGCAUGUGUGUAUUACACACGCGUAUCCACAGCUAUACAUUUAUACGGGUCCAGUAACGAGCGAAAUUUGGGUACAAUAACUCUUUAAACUUUAUUUUUUUACGCGAUCAACGACGCCGUACUUUCCGUAACAAGCAAUACAUCCAUAUGAUAUGUAAAGAGAGACGAAACUUACUCACCGCUGAUUUUCCCGAUGCGUCAGAGAGAAGAAAGUCUUUGCUCACACAUACUCAUCAUCUCUAAAAAAAAAGGAAAAAAACAAAAGACAGUCAUCUCGCUUUCGCCAAAAAGUCGCGAAAGCAGCCAAUCUCCCCCCGAUAGAUGUCGCUGCGCUCGGCCUGCGGAGCGAGCGAGACAGACACACCGAGGCAGAGAAAAACCAUACACGCAUCAGAGGAGAGAACAAAAGUACACACGCGAGAGAUCGCAGCAGAAGAGGGGGGACGACUAAGCUUUUCAAAUCAUCCCUCUCCCCUUCUCCUCUCUCGCUCUCUCUCUUUCCCGUAUCUCGCGCGCAGCUGUGUGUGCGCUCGCAGCUCUUUAUAUCUCUCUCUCUCUCUCUCUCUCUCUCUCUCUCUCUCUGGUUUCCCCUCCACUCAGCGACGACGACGGCGCGCGGCGACGUCGGCUCGUCGCGCGGCUGCUCUGCUCUCUGCUAGUAGUUGUGCGGUAGUUUUCAGCGAGUGACGGUCGUCGUCGCUCUUUGUUCUCUCUCUCUUUCUCUCUCUAGUCUCUGUGUGUAUGCGGACUUGGAUCCGGUUGUACAUGCGUGUGCGGCAAGGCUUGAAUAGUUAUAUCGUAGUUUUCGUUGAAGAGAAACAAGACGAGCCUUGUCGGGAGCUUUGAGCAGCUGCAUUGUGUGUACAUAUAUAUACAGCUACACUGUGUGUGCAGCGAGUGUGGAAGACUACUGUGGCGAGGGAUGGACCGCGAGAGACUGGUGUAGUGGGACGACAGUGCGUUUUGCGAAUAACGUGUCGACGAAAUUCGCGAGAAAGACGUUGUACACGCUUUACUGCGUUCGAAUUAUCUCGGGAGGAUAGUGUCGAACUUGCGGGAGAUCUUGAGUGCGCGUUUAUCAGAACCGAUUGUGUCCUCGGACUAUCGCGAAAAAAGGGGUUAUCGUUGCGCAAACUACACCGGUUCCGACGUGUGUCUAUCGGGGAAAAGCGGCCGUGCGUGAGAGAAAAAGCUCGCGCGCGCCACGUGAUUCGACCAGCGCCACAUCUAACUUUACACACACUCUCUCUCUCUCGAUCGCUUCUAUCGAACUUCUCGGUAAUUCUCGGCUUCGAGGAAGUAGCCUUACACUUAUAUAUCCGCGUAAUUCUGGCGGUCGAGGUUUCGCCGGGGCGGAGAGAAACGCCGCGCGACAUCGGAGAGUUACGGCAGAGCAAACAUGGCCGAAGCGGAAAGCGCCUCUCGUUCGUGCGUGCGCGAUAUACAGUGUGACUUUGAAUUCGCGCGAGAGAUGGAAUAUCGCGUAUUGUGUUCGAUGCGAGUGCGAAGCUCGGCCGCGAAUUUGUAGAAAUAAUGGCGAAUUCUUUUCUCUUUCUUUGUAGUUAUACAAAUGUUUCAGGAAUUCGAGUGAACGAAGAGAGAGAGAGAGAGAGAGAGAGAGAGAGAGAGAGAGAGAGAGAGAGAGAGAGGAAGACUAUGUUGCUGUGAUGUGUACAGCUUCUUAUCUGACGGAGUCUUAUCUGGGUAGAAAGGCCUUUGGUGAUAUUUACACAGCCCUGUGCGCGCUAUAUCUAUAUUUUUCAGACGCUAGUUUCGUCUAAAAAUACGAGGAAUCUGUAACGGCUCGUACAAUUUAGUUCACAUAUGCAGCGUUCGAAAACUCUAUGCUCGCAUGUGGUUGUUAUACUUUGUAAUAAUGUAAGAAUAAAGAGAACUUGCGCGUGAGUAUGUAGAAAUCUCGAUGAGGUGUAUUGCAUUACGAAAGAAGAAUGUUUGCCGUACGAAACUCCGGAAACUGGAUCAUGACGAAGUAAUGAAGAACGUGCCUAAAGCCCCUUAUCAUUCUCCUGUCGAGUGUUAAAAUUCUCUACGACUGGACGGAGAACUGAUAAGGGCCCGAGGGUUACAGAUACAUCGCGGGAUCAAAUAUAUGCUGCGAGGAAUUUGAAGAAACAGAAGAACGAAGUGUGUAAAAAAUGUUUAUUGCGGAAACAACAUAAUGUGUAUACGUGGCUUUUUGUAAUAACAAUAAAUAUUUUUAUAAGCCUUUUUUCUACAAUUA